rnacentral:lncRNA from 1 species
GCUGGGAUUACAGGCACCUGCCACCAGGCCGGGCUAAUUUUUAUACUUUUAGUAGAGACGGGGUUUCACCAUGUUGGCUAGGCUAGUCUUGAACUCUGACCUCAGGUGAUCCAUCCGCCUUGGCCUCCCAAAGUGCUGGGAUUACAGGUGUGAGCCACUGUGCCCUUAAGGCCAGUAUACUUUAUAUUGCAUUAUAACUGCCCAAUAUUAGUAUUUAGGAAUAUUAAUGAGAAGAGAUCAAAUCAUUGCAAAACCAAAAGCAUGUUCCCCUAGUUGUCUAAUGUUGUUAAAUAUACUCUUUAGGCUAUGAAAAUGGUGGUGCUGAAUAACCAGUCUCCUCCUCCACCAUCAUACAUCAAACAAAAUUUAGUUCAUGGCCGGGCACAGUGCCUCACACCUGUAAUCCCAGCACUUUGGGAGGCUGAGGUGGAUAGAUCACCUGAGGUCAGGAGUUCAAGACCAGCCUGACCAAUAUGGUAAAACCCCGUCUCUACUAAAAAUACAAAAACUAGCUGGGCGUGGUGGCAUGCGCUUGUAAUCUCAGCUACUCAGGAGGCUGAGACAAUAAAAUUGCUUGAACCCAGGAGGCGGAGGUUGCAGUGUGCCGAGAUCGCGCCACUGCAUUCUAGACCUGGGUGACAGAGUGAGACUCUGUCUCAAGAAAAAAAAAAAAAUACACACACACACACACACACGUGUAUAUGUAAAUACACACACACACACACACACACACACACACACACACACAUAUAUAUAUAUAUAUAUAUAUAUAUAUGGUAUAUGGUAGUUACUUAGCUUCCUUGUCCUUUAGUUUCCUCAGGUGUAAAAUGGAGUAAUAUGAAUAGUACCUACCUCAUAAAGUUGUUGUGAUUAAAUGAGAUAAUGGCUAUAAUUUUCACUGUGCCUAACACAUAGUAAGGCACUUAAAAAGAAUCUGUGGCCAGGAGCAGUGGCUCACACCUGUAAUCCCAGCCCUUUGAGGGGCUGAGGUGGAUGGAUUGCUUGAACCCAGGAGUUUGAGACCAGCCUGGGUGACACGGUGAAAACCCCAUCUCUACAAAAAAAUAAAA